UUUUUUUCCUAUCUAAAGUUACCUAUGAUAGAAAAAAGCAUGAUGUCAGAAAAUCAGACUAUUCUUAAACCUUUGGUUAGUUUAGAUACACCUGGAAAAGCAAGUGUACAAGUUGUAAUUUUAGCAGAUCCAGAUGGUCAUGAAAUUUGUUUUGUUGGAGAUGAAGCAUUUAGAGAAUUAUCACAGUUGGAUCCUAAGGCAGAUCAUUUAUUAAAUGAGGUACUUUAUUUAAUUCAUAUUAACAAUCCUAAAUGGCUUUUCUUUGACUUAAAAUAAACAUUUUAUUUCCUUU
rnacentral:sRNA from 1 species